rnacentral:rRNA from 1 species
CAACCUGAGCUCAGAUGUGAUUACCCGCUGAACUUAAGCAUAUCAUUUAGCGGAGGAAAAGAAACUAACUAGGAUUCCCAAAGUAACGGCGAGUGAACUGGGAAAAGCCCAGCGCUGAAUCUUUCGAUGUUGAAUCGUUAAGAAAUGUAGCGUAUAGGUAUGAUUAUCGGCUUGUUUGGCAUAUCCAAAGUUCCUUUGACAGGGGCCAUAGUCCAGAGAGGGUGCGAGACCUGUGCGGAUAGCGGAACAUACCGUAUGAUUAUACUUUGGAGUCGGGUUGCUUGAAAGUGCAGCCUUAAGUGGGUGAUAAACUUCAUCUAAGGCUAAAUACGGACGCGAAUUCGAUAGCAAACAAGUACUGUGAAGGAAAGUUGCAAAGAACUUUGAAGAGAGAGUUCAAGAGAACGUGAAAUCGUUGAAGUGGAACCGGAGAGAGUUGACGUAGUCUGGUGGAUAAGUAUCAUAAGAAUCGCAUCAGAAUGUGAUCAAGUGAUAUGUAUGUCACCAAUGACUGCGCUGACAGCAUCGACUACACGCUCUGAACCGUGUUGACAUGUUGCCUACUCUACGUUAAAAAUAGAGUGGUGUCUUGUGUUACGUGGUAAGGUUUGUUGUAUGUUGAUGUUGAUAACCAUAAUUAUAUAUAAUUAUAAUUAUGUCAGUGUAAAAGUCAACCACCUCUCCGACCCGUCUCGAAACACGGACCGAGGAGUGUAACUUGUACGCGAGUCAAUGGGUGAAAAACCUUAAGGCGAAAUGAAAGUGAAGGUACGGUUAACCGGCUGACAUGGGAAACGUCCACCUUGUCUUAGUGAGACGUCACACCAUGGCCCUGUCUUGUCUGCAUGCAGAUGGGCAGCGGUAGAGCGUACAGGUUGCGACCCGAAAGAUGGUGAACUAUGCCUGAGCAGGACGAAGUCAGAGGAAACUCUGGUGGAAGUCCGUAUCGGUUCUGACGUGCAAAUCGAUCGAUAGACUUGGGUAUAGGGGCGAAAGACUAAUCGAACCAUC